AUUGAACGCUGGCGGCAUGCUUUACACAUGCAAGUCGAACGGUAACAGGCCUUCGGGUGCUGACGAGUGGCGAACGGGUGAGUAAUGCAUCGGAACGUGCCCAGUCGUGGGGGAUAACGCAGCGAAAGCUGUGCUAAUACCGCAUACGAUCUGUGGAUGAAAGCGGGGGACCUUUGGGCCUCGCGCGAUUGGAGCGGCCGAUGUCAGAUUAGGUAGUUGGUGGGGUAAAGGCUCACCAAGCCAACGGUCUGUAGCUGGUCCGAGAGGACGACCAGCCACACUGGGACUGAGACACGGCCCAGACUCCUACGGGAGGCAGCAGUGGGGAAUUUUGGACAAUGGGGGCAACCCUGAUCCAGCAAUGCCGCGUGCAGGAAGAAGGCCUUCGGGUUGUAAACUGCUUUUGUACGGAGCGAAAAGGCUCCCUCUAAUACAGGGGGCUCAUGACGGUACCGUAAGAAUAAGCACCGGCUAACUACGUGCCAGCAGCCGCCGCAGUAA
rnacentral:rRNA from 1 species